rnacentral:SRP_RNA from 1 species
GCUGGGCCUGGUGGAGGGCACCUGUGGUCCCAGCUACUUGGGAGGCUGAGGCAGGAGGAUUCUUGAGCCCAGGACAGUGAGGUUGCUGUGAGCUAUGACACCACAGCACUCUACCCAGGGUGACAGAGUGAGACUCUGUCUCCACAAGAAAAAAAAAAAAGAAGAAGUUGACAUCUUAUAAAAGUAUAAAAGUAAAAGCUCACUUCUUUCUUUCUUUUUUGAGACAGAGCCUCACUCUGUCACCCUGGGUAGAGUGCUGUGGUGUCAUAGCUCACAGCAACCUUAAACUCCUGGGCUCAAGAGAUCCUCCUGCCUCAGC